rnacentral:rRNA from 1 species
GAUGAAUGCUAGCGGCAGGCUUAAUACAUGCAAGUCGUGGGGCAGCAUGAGUAGCAAUACUUGAUGGCGACUGGCAAACGGGUGCGGAACACGUACACAACCUUCCGAUAAGUGGGGAAUAGCCCAGAGAAAUUUGGAUUAAUACCCCGUAACAUAUAGAGUAGGCAUCUUCUUUAUAUUAUAGCUUCGGCGCUUAUUGAUGGGUGUGCGUCUGAUUAGGUAGUUGGCGGGGUAACGGCCCACCAAGCCUACGAUCAGUAGCUGAUGUGAGAGCAUGAUCAGCCACACGGGCACUGAGACACGGGCCAGACUCCUACGGGAGGCAGCAGUAAGGAAUAUUGGACAAUGGGCGAAAGCCUGAUCCAGCCAUGCCGCGUGAAGGAUUAAGGUCCUCUGGAUUGUAAAACUCUGUCACUGGGGAAGAAACGCUUUGAGUUAAUAGUUCAAAGCCUGACUUAACCCGGAGAGGAAGCAGUGGCUAACUCUGUGCCAGCCGCCGCAGUAA